rnacentral:rRNA from 1 species
AACGCUAGCUACAGGCUUAACACAUGCAAGUCGAGGGGCAGCAUAAAAGUAGCAAUACUUUGGUGGCGACCGGCGCACGGGUGAGUAACGCGUAUGCAACCUACCUAUCAGAGGGGGAUAACCCGGCGAAAGUCGGACUAAUACCGCAUAAAACAGGGGCACCGCAUGGUGAUAUUUGUUAAAGAUUAAUUGCUGAUAGAUGGGCAUGCGUUCCAUUAGGUAGUUGGUGAGGUAAUGGCUCACCAAGCCGACGAUGGAUAGGGGAACUGAGAGGUUGGUCCCCCACACUGGUACUGAGACUCGGACCAGACUCCUACGGGAGGCAGCAGUGAGGAAUAUUGGUCAAUGGGCGAGAGCCUGAACCAGCCAAGUCGCGUGAAGGAAGAAGGAUCUAUGGUUCGUAAACUUCUUUUGCAGGGGAAUAAAGUGGAGGACGUGUCCUCUUUUGUAUGUACCCUGAGAAUAAGGAUCGGCUAACUCCGUGCCAGCAGCCGCGGUAAUACGGAGGAUCCGAGCGUUAUCCGGAUUUAUUGGGUUUAAAGGGUGCGUAGGUGGUUUAAUAAGUCAGCGGUGAAAGUUUGCAGCUUAACUGUAAAAAUGCCGUUGAAACUGUUAGACUUGAGUGUAAAUGAGGUAGGCGGAAUGCGUGGUGUAGCGGUGAAAUGCUUAGAUAUCACGAAGAACUCCGAUUG